rnacentral:lncRNA from 10 species
GCAUCUGUCUGUGGGAGCUUCCCUCCUCCCUUGGCUUCUGCGGGGCACCUUCUCGUCCUCCUCUGUUCUCUCACCUGCCUUCUUCACACACAGUGGCUGCCAGGCUCCUGGAGGUGCUGGCCUGGUCCUCUGCUCUGUUUCUCGGUGGCUCUUCCAGAGUUCCCGUUGUUCAUACCUUUGGCUUCAGGGGACACUGCCCUGCUGAUGACUCUUUCUUUCCAUCUUUCGUCUCUGCUGAGACCUCUAUGUCCACGGCCUUCCAGACAUCCCCACGUUCUGGCUUUCAGGCAACUUCAACUUCACAUGGUCAAUCGCAGCCCUUCUCUUUUAUGCUGAACCUGCUCUUCUUCCUGCAAUUCCUCUUCAGCCUUUUAUGAACAUCACUGAAAAGGCUGGGCAAGACGAAACCUGUGAAGAAGGAAGAUCUCCAUGGCUGCCCUUAGCGUGGAAUGUGUUCUUCACACCCUUACAAACAGCUUUCAAGUGUUCAGCCUGUGGAGUUGAAGCAGAAGAUCGGAAACCAGAGAAAAGUAUGCAGAAGAAAAUAAAAUUCAUCAAUAAUUGUACCAACCAGAGGUAACAAUUUUGGUUAUCUGUGGUCUGUUUGCUUUGAUUAUAAAAGUCCUAUCUGUUGUUUUCCAUCAAUCAUCUAUCUACAUAAACAAAAUUGGGAUCAUACAUUUAGCCAUAGGCCGCCAAUAUCAUUCCCUGCUGAUAUGUAAAAAUUUUAAAAACCAUGUGUGCAAUUUUCCAUCAGAUGGGUGCACCACUAAGCAUUCUGUAUGCCUUGUCCAAUCUUAAAGGGACUAGGGUCACCUUGGAACUUUGCACUGUCUGAUGUCAAACUUCAUUAUGCUCCAGGUCAGGCAUCAUAAAAUUAAUAAAUUCAAAGUUUGGGAAAACAGGGAAAAACAAUGCCCUAAUCCAUUUUCAUUUUUAUUUCCCACUGGCCUUUGUCCAAAUGCAUAAAUAUUCUAACAUGAUUACAAUCAUAAUGUACAUUUGCAUCUUAUUAUAUUGUAAACAUUUUAAAGCUGAUUAAUGAUUUUCUUUUUUUUUUUCCGAGAUGGAGUCUUGCUCUGUCACCCAGGCUGGAGUGCAAUGGUGCAAUCUCGGCUCACUGCAACUUCUGCUUCCCGGGUUCAAGUGAUUCUUGUGCCUCAGCCUGCCAAGUAGCUGGGAUUACAGGUGCGCGCCACCAUGCCAGGCUAAUUUUUGUAUUUUCAGUAGAGAUGGGGUUUCACCACAUUGCCCACACUGGUCUGAACUCCUGACCUCAGGUAAUCCACCUGCCUCAGCCUCCCAAAGUGCUGGGAUUACAGGCGUGAGCCACUGUGCCUGGCCUUGAGUUUCAUAAUUUUUAAUGACUGGGUAAUAGUCCUCUCAGUAGACAUAAUUAUUUAAUUUGUCAUUAUCCUAUUGUUACUUUUUUUGAAAUUAUGAAUAAUUCUGCGAUGACUGUCUUCAUCAUGAUAGCUUUAUCCUUCAUUUGGACUACUUCCUUAGAUAAAGUCUCAGCAGGGGGUAAUAGGGUCUGCUUAAACUGUAGCAGUAAUGUAAAUAUCAAUUGCUUGCCUUAGUUUCUGGGAGUGGAUUUACAUUCAGUCUGUUAUUGAGUACCUUUAAAAAAAACUUUUUUUUUUUUUUUUCAGAGGCAGGGUCUAUCUGUGUCACUCAGGCUGGAAUGCAGUGGUGUGCCCGUAGCUCACUGCUGCCUCAAACUCCUGGGCUCGUGCAAUCCUCCCGCCUCAGCCUCCUGAGUAGCUGGGGCUACAGGUGCAUGCCACCUCACCUGGCUAAUUAUUUUAUUCUAUUUUUGUAGAGAUGGGGUCUUGCUUUGUUGCCCAGGCUGGUCUUGAACUCCUGGCUUCAAGGGAUCCUCUGGUUUCAGCCUCCCAAAGUGCUGGAAUUACAGGCAUAAGGCACCAUGCCCAGCCUGUUAUUGAGUAUUUUUUAAAUUGAACUUCACUCUUAUUAAUAGAAAACAUGUUGACUUUGAUAGUAGCAUAAUUUGGACAAGAAUUAAGCAGAUUUUAAAUGAGACACUGCUUGAUUUGUGUAGAGGUAUUUUUGAGUAAAUGCUUCUUUUUUCCCUGUAAUUCAUCCACACGCAACUAGAAACUUGAGAGGAUGAAGAAGCAUUCAUGGAAAACUAACAAUGUUAGUUUUUAAGGCACGCAAUUGAUAUUUACAUUACUGCUAGAGUUUAGGCAGACCCUAUUACCCCCUGCUAAGAGUUUAUCUAAGGAAAUAGUCCAAAUGAAAGAUAAAGCUAUCAUCCUAAAGAUGUUCAUUGCAAAAAAACAAUUAACUAUGAUGAUUAGCAUCGUACCUGGCAGAGCCUCUUCACAUUUGUGGAUUUCAGUGGCUAUGUGAGUUUUGAAAGACCAGUAUCUUUUUUUUUUUUGGAGAUGGAGUCGCACUCUGUCGCCCAGGCUGGAGUGCAGUGGCACUAUCUUGGCUCAUUGCAACCUCUGCCUCCCAGGUUCAAGUGAUUCUCCUGCUUCAGCCUGCCAAGUAGCUGAGACUACAGGUGUGCACUGCCACACCCGGCUAAUUUUUGUAUUUUUAGUAGAGACGGGUGUUCACCAUGUUGGCCAGGCUGGUCUCAAAAUACUGACCUCAGGUGAUCCACCCACCUUGGCCUCCCAAAUUGCUGGGAUUACAGGCAUGAGCCACCACGCCUGGCCAAGACCAGUAUCUGUUUUAUGUGUGUCUUUGAUAUGUGUGGAAAUGAGGAAAUUCAAGAAGUAAAUGGCAGGACCAUGAAAAUUCUUCCUUAGUUUCUACUUAAACAAAUUUAGAUUCAGCACAGUAUUUAGUAAACGGUGCAUGAUGGCAGGAGUCUAAAAGCUAACCUACAUUAGCUCAGAAGGUGUGGUCCACAGAAUGGACCUGGAAUGCCUUGGGCUACUGCCCUCAGUUGCAUUCUGUCCUACGAAAGAGCUCAUGGCUCAAGCUUUCCAAAUUAAUAAAUACAGAGUUUCUAAAAAUAUAAAAUAAAUAAGAGCAAAUUGCAACAGUAAAACCUUAAUAUCAACAAUCUGCUGUGGAGACUGAAGAAAUAUAUUCUCCAUCACUGACAUAUACCUCAUUUCUAUUAGCAGACAGUGAGUGAACGCUCAUUGUGAUUGUCAUUACAUUGCAGACUUUUACUACCCACUGUGGAUACUUUUGAAAAAUAUAUCUUGAUUGACUGAUAUUUCUUUCUCUCAUUUACCUCCUCUCCAUACCUAAAGAAGCUAUCCAGGGAAGAAAGAAAACUGGAUGUGUAAUUCUAUUUAAUUUGUUUUAUAUUUAUUCCUCAAAUCACUCGUUUCUUUGAAAUAAAA